UACGCAGAAGUUUGCUUCAUCAGGCUGAAUAUGCCCUGCCUGGUAAAGCCUUCUGCCUAAC
rnacentral:pre_miRNA from 1 species